UUUCUGUAAUUUAUAAUGUAUAUGUAUAUCUAUCAUAUAUCCCUAUAAAAAGAGCUUUUUUGUAUCACCUACUAUGUGCCAAGCACUGUGUACUAAGGACAUUUAACAAAUAUUAUGUGACUCAUUUCAUUGUUCAUACAUGCAUCUACUCAUACUUACCAGCACUUGCCCACCUAUACGCACAUAUGUAUGCAUACGUAUAUAACUACAUAAUACUGUUGUUAUGGUAAGUUUAUCAAGGUGUCUUUAGGAUGAAUUUCCUCUACAUCUAUCUUUCGCACAAUAGGACAAUCAUUUUAAUAGUAGCCAAAAUAAUAUUGGAUAACAUCUCUAGGCAGGAGCUUCUAGACAUUUAAUUAAAUCCUUGAGUUUAUUGCUGGUGGUGUUUGGUUUUUUUUUUUUUUGGUUGUUUCUUUGUUUUUUUCAAGAUCAUUAGCUUGAUUCAGAAUCCAGAAAACCCUCUUAAAGUUUGGUCCAUAAGCAAGUCCCAGUUUCAGUCAAAGCAGUACUAUCAGUCUUUUGGCACUGAAAUAAUUCCUCAUUGUACUUGGUCUUCUCCUUCCAUGUAAUUAUCCUUAUCUGGACCCCCAUGGUAGCAUUGUCUUAUCUCAGAAAUUGUGAUUUUUUAUUGUUUAACAUAUAAGAAUUUUGAGACUGAAAUUUAUUUGGUGAGUGAAACUUUUUUUUUUAAUUUUAUAACAUUUUUCCUCUCAAAUGCAUUUCUACAGGAAAAUAAUGCUGACAAGGUCACCAAGCAAUGUCAUAAUAAAGGAAUGCCUCACCUUAAUCUGGCCCAGUAUCUGACUUCUACAUCUGGCUAGCCUGUGCCUAAGAGAAAAUGUCAGUGCAGAAUCCAUGGCAAGUUUUCCUACUUUGAAGAACCCCUAACCAUAUGAACUGCUUACUUUUUGAAGGAGUCUAUUUCAUUUGUGAAUAGCAUUGAUCAAAUGGGAGAACCAGCAUGGCCCAAGGAAAAAAUGCAGAAUUUGUAGUUGGGAGAUAUGGAUUUAGUUUCCUUCUCAUACAAUUAUUGCAUGGAUCUAGGAAUAUAAAUAUCCACAACAAUUCCAAAGAACUCAUGAAGGAAAAGGCUAUUCACCAUCAUUGAAGGGACUGAUGGAGUCUUAAUAAAGAUUGAAGCUUCCAUUGAAGCA
rnacentral:lncRNA from 1 species